AAAAACUUAUAAAAUAACCUGGCCUUGGUUGUUAAACUAAUGGCCUAAGGAAAACAGUCGUAGCUACAUACAAUAUACUUACCUCUUGAAGCUCGACAGCAAGAUUUAUUUGCUAGACUAAAUCGUUUAUCUACUCUUCUACUACAUUUAUGCCCUGUGGGUCUAGACAAAAUUCACUUUAAAAUUGCAAACCAGUCGAAGGAUGGUCGAUAAGCCUUCUUUUUUCUAUAUGAAGUUAUAACGUAUCCAAUUUUCGAUUCGAUCAAAAAGUGCUACUUGUCUAGGGGGGCUGGUAUUACUAAUCUAAAACUAUAUUAAAGAUAACUUUAAUUUUCUUACUAAGCAUAAAAGCUUAACCAAUUUCACUUCCUGAUAAAGGCCUUAAACCCAACAGUAGGUAUCUAAAAUGUGACCUUUACGAGGCUUCUCGCAGACUAGCUUAUGUAUAUUUCUCUCCUACCAUCUACAUCAGCUGCUGACAUGAUAAAACAUAGUCUCACCUGAAUAAUUUCAAGAUUAAGUUAAUAAACCUUGACCUACGAGUAAGUUCGACACCGUUACGGCAUCAUACAAACAACUGGAAAAAAUGACAGCAAAUCCCAAAAAACAACAUAGGUAUGCCCUUGUUACGGUUGUGUAAGUUACUAGAAUCAGGCGAGCAGAGGCGAACAGCGGAAUAUAAUAACACAUUAUUUAUUUAUUUUUCAACACCAAGUGAUACUAGGAAUCUACAUGGAUAAAAACAGUAUAGCCUGACCAGGAACAUAAAAACCCUCGCCAUGUUGCGGAAAACUAAUGGUACUAAUUUCUUUUAAUGGCAACAGUAACUGAAAACUUCAUUAUAAUGUCACCUUGCAUGUCAGUUUAUUGCUGUCAUAGUGUAAACAAACUUUAUUUUAAAUGUGCGCAAUUGAUUUUGUGAAUAAAUUGCUAAAAUCUUUUAAUAGUCGUGAAAGAAAAGUGGUUCACAAUGUGUUAAAGUAUUUGUCGAAGAGAAAUACUAAGGGUUCGGACAAUAUUUUCAUUGAAUAAUGUUUCCGACAAAGGUUGUCAAAUUGACUGACAUGUUUAUCGUAUAGUACAGUCAACUAUGAAAAUUAGCUGUGGUUUGUUUCAACUACCUAUUUUAAAGUUUUUUGUCACUUUUUAAGUGUUGAAUUUUAUGGAAUUGGGAAAGAAGUACCGAGUUUGAAGCGUUCUUAGCAGACAUUGCAGUUGAAUAUUCAAGUUCUGAAUUUUAUUAUUGAUGAAUAAUAAAAUAAAUCCUACUAGCUCGA